rnacentral:rRNA from 1 species
UACGUAGGGUGCGAGCGUUAAUCGGAAUUACUGGGCGUAAAGCGUGCGUAGGCGGUUCGCUGUGUCCGAUGUGAAAGCCCCGGGCUUAACCUGGGAAUGGCAUUGGAAACUGGCGGGCUUGAGUGCGGCAGAGGGGGGUGGAAUUCCGCGUGUAGCAGUGAAAUGCGUAGAGAUGCGGAGGAACACCGAUGGCGAAGGCAGCCCCCCUGGGUCGACACUGACGCUCAGGCACGAAAGCGUGGGGAGCAAACAGG